rnacentral:lncRNA from 10 species
GUGGAUGAAACUGAAGCCUAGAAAGAAGUGACUGCUCACAGGAUAAACCGGGAAUUAAAUCCACGCUUCCUCAUUCCCAACCCUGGCUCCUUCUGAUUCUUGCAUUUGAGGCAUCUGUAAAAAUGUAUAGCUCUACCUCCUCCUGCUCCCCAUCCCCAGCCCACCACUGGAGCAUUUUUCACUAAAUGCUGAAGAACAGUCCUUAGAGGUAAAGUGGACACUUCAUCUGCCUUACCAGUGCCCAUGCACGUCCUCAUCUUCCUUACCAAGAGAACCCAGAACUGGUUCAGAGAUCCAGGCCUCCCACCUCAGACUCAUAAGAAGAGAGCUUCUCUUCCUCCUCUGGACGCUGUCCUGUGUGUAGCACUCAGGACUGCUGAAGACAUCUAGGUAACAGCUUGAAGGUGAAACCAGCACUGAGGUUUCCUGAUUCCUGGGUGGAGCGCAGACUGGAGCCUAAGCCCUGACAGCAUGUUUCAUUUCAACACAUCAAAUUUUCAUUGAGCAUCUACUGUGUGCCUGGCACUGUGGUCAAUGCCGUGAUAAUAAGGGACUUGCAGCUCAAGUAUAUCUGUGCUUCACUGGAAGAGUUGAAAGAGCUGGAGACUGUCUGUGAUCAAUGAGCCCCUGUCACUCUCAUGACACUUUCCUGAACCAUUUCACCAGCACUCAGAAGAUGAAGACUGUGCUCUACCUGUUCCUUCUCUGAAGCUAGAAGAUCUGGUGUUUCGACUUUGCCCCAGCCAACUGACCACAUUGAGUGAUGUGCUUAGUUUACACUGAAUACCAAGAGAUGGGUGGGAUUGCUGUGCAUAUAUAUUAGCAGGAUUUUGGCUGGAGGCCACUUGUGACCUCUAUUGAAUGUAACUUCCUCACUCAGGAGUUGAUAUGGAACCACUCACUCCUAUUGGCUCAGUGCCCAGAAGGCCUCAGAGAGAGCCCACAAGAUCAACCCGACAGACCCCGGCUUUCCAAAUAAAGAAACGCACCCCCCCCACCCCAGGGUAGGGGUCUUUGUGGGUCCUGCCUAC